CAUAACUGGACUUACUAGAAAUUGCAAUUUCACUUUUAUGCUACAUGCACUGAGCUGGACAUUUUUUCUGUACAGUGUAUUUAUUACAUACAUACCAAAACAUAGUCAUAAGUGUAGCGUGAGGUUUAAAGGAACAGUCCAAUCACCAUAACCAAUGUAGUUGUAAGUAGGUACACCAUUUAGAAUGAUAUGACAACUUACC